rnacentral:rRNA from 1 species
UAGGGAAUUUUGCGCAAUGGGGGAAACCCUGACGCAGCAACGCCGCGUGAUUGAGACGCCCUUCGGGGUGUAAAGAUCUGUCAGUGGGGACGAACGAAUGACGGUACCCACAGAGGAAGCACCGGCUAACUCCGUGCCAGCAGCCGCGGUAAUACGGGGGGUGCGAGCGUUGUCCGGAAUCAUUGGGCGUAAAGAGUUCGUAGGCGGCACGUAAAGUCUGGUGUUAAAGGCGUAUGCUCAACAUACGUACGGCACUGGAUACUUGCGAGCUAGAAUGCGGUAGAGGUAAAGGGAAUUCCUGGUGUAGCGGUGAAAUGCUUAGAUAUCAGGAGGAACAUCGGUGGCGUAAGCGCUUUACUGGGCCGUAAUUGACGCUGAGGAACGAAAGCCAGGGUAGCAAAUGGG